rnacentral:rRNA from 1 species
AACGAACGCUGGCGGCAUGCCUAACACAUGCAAGUCGAACGAGACCUUCGGGUCUAGUGGCGCACGGGUGCGUAACGCGUGGGAACCUGCCCUUAGGUUCGGAAUAACUCCCCGAAAGGGGUGCUAAUACCGGAUAAUGUCUUCGGACCAAAGAUUUAUCGCCUUUGGAUGGGCCCGCGUUGGAUUAGCUAGUUGGUAGGGUAAAAGCCUACCAAGGCGACGAUCCAUAGCUGGUCUGAGAGGACGAUCAGCCACACUGGGACUGAGACACGGCCCAGACUCCUACGGGGGGCAGCAGUGGGGAAUAUUGGACAAUGGGCGAAAGCCUGAUCCAGCAAUGCCGCGUGAGUGAUGAAGGCCUUAGGGUUGUAAAGCUCUUUUACCCGGGAUGAUAAUGACAGUACCGGGAGAAUAAGCUCCGGCUAACUCCGUG